rnacentral:rRNA from 1 species
CACGUAGGGGGCGAGCGUUGUCCGGAUUUAUUGGGCGUAAAGAGCGUGUAGGCGGCCAGGUAGGUCGGUUGUGAAAACUGGAGGCUCAACCUUCAGAGGUCGACCGAAACCAUCUGGCUAGAGUCCGGGAGAGGAGAGUGGAAUUCCUGGUGUAGCGGUGGAAUGCGCAGAUAUCAGGAGGAACACCAACGGCGAAGGCAGCUCGCUGGGACGGUACUGACACUGAGGCGCGAAAGCGUGGGGAGCGAACAGG